GACAGAGGUGGCGAGCGUUGAUCGGAAUCACUGGGCUUAAAGGGCGAGAAGGCGGUAGGGUAAGUCUGAGGUGGAAUCCUAAGGCUUAACCAUAGAACUGCCCUGGAAACUGUUCUGCUUGAGUCAGUGAGGGGAGGGCGGAAUUCCCGGUGUAGCGGUGAAAUGCGUAGAUAUGUGGAGGAACGCCGGUGGCGAAGGCGGCCCUCUGGCGCUGUACUGACGCUGAUGCGCGAAAGCGUGGGGAGCAAACAGG
rnacentral:rRNA from 1 species